rnacentral:rRNA from 1 species
UGGGGGAUAUUGCGCAAUGGGGGCAACCCUGACGCAGCAACGCCGCGUGAAGGAUGAAGGUUUUCGGAUUGUAAACUUCUUUUCUUAAGGACGAAUAAUGACGGUACUUAAGGAAUAAGCUCCGGCUAACUACGUGCCAGCAGCCGCGGUAAUACGUAGGGAGCAAGCGUUGUCCGGAUUUACUGGGUGUAAAGGGUGCGUAGGCGGCAAUGCAAGUCAGAUGUGAAAUCUAUGGGCUCAACCCAUAAACUGCAUUUGAAACUGCGUUGCUUGAGUGAAGUAGAGGCAGGCGGAAUUCCCCGUGUAGCGGUGAAAUGCGUAGAGAUGGGGAGGAACACCAGUGGCGAAGGCGGCCUGCUGGGCUUUAACUGACGCUGAGGCACGAAAGCGUGGGUAGCAAACAGG